UUAACCUGCUAACUAGCCCGUAUUGCUUUGGCAGUACGCUGGCUUCUUAGAGGGACUAUCGGCUCAAGCCGAUGGCAGUUUGAGGCAAUAACAGGUCUGUGAUGCCCUUAGAUGCUGUGGUCCGUCCGCGCGCUACACUGACGGAGCCAGCGAGUCAUCCCUUGGCCGAAAGGCCUGGGUAAUCUUGUGAAACUC
rnacentral:rRNA from 1 species